GUACUGUAACAGGAGUAGUGUAGGGUGUAGUGAAAGUACUGUAACAGGAGUAGUGUAGGGUGUAGUGAAGGUACUGUAACAGGAGUAGUGUAGGGUGUAGUGAAGGUACUGUAACAGGAAUAGUGUAGGGUGUAGUGAAGGUACUGUAACAGGAGUAGUGUAGGGUGUAGUGAAGGUACUGUAACAGGAGUAGUGUAGGGUGUAGUGAAGGUACUGUAACAGGAGUAGUGUAGGGUGUAGUGAAGGUACUGUGACAGGAGAAGUGUAGGGUGUAGUGAAGGUACUGUAACAGGAGUAGUGUAGGGUGUAGUGAAGGUUCCGUAACAGGAGUAGUGUAGGGUGUAGUGAAGGUACUGUAACAGGAGUAGUGAAAGUACUAUGACAGGAGUAGUGUAGGGUGUAGUGAAG
rnacentral:lncRNA from 1 species